GUCCCGUGGGGGAGGGGAGCACCCCAGCCUGUUGGGGUUGUCAGCAGAGCAGGUGGCCCAAGCCCAGGGGCAGUCGCUGCGACGCUGGCGGGAUGCUCACCCGGGGUUGUGGCAUCCCCCGGGUGCCUGGAGAGGGGUUCAGAGGUGCGGCGCCAGGUGAGUAACCCCAACUCGUUGCUGAGGGUUUUUUUUGCAGCUGAAGAACGGCUCUUUGUUUUUUUCUGACAGUGGAAAAAAAAAAAAGCAAAAACCAAGAGCCGGUGUUUUUCCAGGGGUCUCGCACAGUUGAGGAGGACUGCCGGGUCUGAUCCUGCGGCUUGCUUUCGGAAACGGAGGGGGGGGGGUAUCUGGCUUUCGUCGGCCGCUUUGACGCGUGCUGCAAGGGGAGAGCGGGGCAGCGCUUUAAUUAGAGCCGCUCUGAUUAAAGUGCCGCUGCGUCUCCGUGCUUAAAAACGGCGGCAGGGGUGUGUGAGCUAAAGCUGGUUCAACGGGAUUUAGUUCGAGCACCCCCCACUGCCGUUUUUGAGCGUGGGGAUGCUGAUAGGUGAGGCCACUGGAGCACGGCAGUUGCCAUUGGCAAUGCGAUGGUGUGCACGCAGGUGCACAUACACCACCUGAGUGUGGCAGGGCGCCGCCAGCACUGCUGGUGGCACCUGCUGACAGUCGCCACUGGGUCGCUGACCACUAAUCAGCGCUCACCAUCACUGCUGACCGCCAUGGCUGCCUGUGGGAGCUCCCCAUUUCCCAUCACCGACACCUGCAGGAGCUCACCGUGGCCCCCCAGCCUCCGGCAAUUGGCACACUCCAGCAGACUCGAGUCAUCCUCAUUAAUCCACGUCUCUUCCUCAUUCCUUCAUAAAAAUGUCUGGGAGAGUUGCGUUUACAAUCUUAUUUUUAGCUGGAGUCAAAUAAAAUGCCGCCACAGUUGUUACUGAAAAGAAACUCAAAAAUAACCUGUGGUUAAUUGAGUCUGCUCCAACAUGCUGGAAUUCCAGCGCGUCGGAGCAGCCUCCGCGCUUGUGAAUAUAUACCCUUAGUGUUUGACUGACUGCAGGUUUUGAAGGGGAGGUCUUCAGUCAGCAAAGGAAAUGUUCACAGUACAGGUAGUCCUCAAUUUACAACGUUUCGAGUUACAGUGUUUCACGCUUACCACAUUUCUAAACAUAAGUGAUGCACUGUUUCAACUUUCUGACAUCAGUUUCAACUUUACAACACUUGAUUGCACACCACGCCUGCAAGCAAGUUUGCCACGUCGCACAUCUCACCAGAGAACAUCUGUCCAAACUUCCUUGGACACUUUCUUUAAGCCUGCAGCCAAGACUCCUGAGAAGACUCCAGCCAAGAACCCCUCAAAAAGUCCGACAAAGUCACCUCAAAGAAGUCCUUCCAGAUCAAUGUGAUUGCUGUUUACAAUAUAUAUACAGGAAACCCUCACUGUUCACGGGUUUGGCAUUCGUUGUUUCAAAUAUUCUCAAAUGCCAAACCCACUUCUUAAAUACACUUAAAGGAGUUCCUUUGGAGUGCCACGCUUCCCACUGCUGCCGCCAUGCUCCUGCUGUCACCAGAACAGCCGUGCCCACUCCCAGCCGCUGGGGGUACUGAGUUCAUGAAUGCAGACAGCGUUCAUGAACACUGCCUUUUUCAUGGAUUUUGCCAGUCACAGGGAUACGAGAACAUAUCCCCCGUGAAUGGCGAGGGUCGCCUGUACAUUCAUGUAGUUGUAUUACUCACUUAUAAUUGAUUGAUUACAGAAUUCUGGGUUAUUUUUGGUGAAAAUAGGGCAUUGGUCCUUGGUUCAGGAACGAAUGCCCCAUUUAAAACAUUGUUUCCUAUGGGAAAAUCAGUUCUGAAUUACCAUGUUUUGACUUAAGACAUGGUUUUCAGGCACCAAAUGUGUUGUAAGUCCAAGGACUGCUUGUAGUGGAAGGGAGUUACCUGUUCCCAGCUCUUCGUGCUCUGUAGGAAGGGUGCAUGCCUUGAAGGGCUCCUAAAUACAGCUGAGACUGAUAUCAUGUAACCAAGUCUCAUCCUCAGAAGGAAAGAUACUUAUUUGAGAUCCUGCCCUCGUUUUUGCUUCUGGUACCACCAGAUAAGUCACCCUGACUGUAAGUGACGCCCAUGAAAUAAAGCACUUUCUUGCUGCAAGGAAGUACUAGCAUUUUGAAGUAGAGAUAGUUUUAUAGGCCCCUGCAAGUCUGUUGUGUUCACAGAUCUGUAUUGGUAUGGCAUGACAAGCUGUGUGGUGUGAUGUGAUGCCAAAGGAUUUUUUUUAGGAAUGGAAACCUUUGGCUAGUCCAUGUUGGUGUAGGUGCUUCUGGUCAAAAUUAGAAAUACUAACUGAUACCAAGAAGACUUAAGCUGUGGGAUAUGGUAGGAGCCCAAACCAAAUGCUGAAUUCUUUGUUACAUUGCUAUACAAUGCAGUUAACUUAAACUUUGCAGUGUCUUUCAGGGUCUCCUGAUGCUGAGGAAAUGAAAUGCAGCUUUCUUGCUUUUCUUGUUAAGGUUGAAGACGUCCAGGCCCAGAAUUCUGAACCACCUCUUCUUCAUUCAUCCAUAAAAAUGUCUGGGAGAGUUGCAUUUACAGUCUUAUUCUUUAGCUGGAGUCAAAUAAAAUGCCACCAAAUUUGUUACUGAAGAGAAUAACAUGUAAUUACACUAAAGGUUUUUCAGAUGCAUGCAGAGAGCAACAGGUAUGUUACAGAGAGCAGCAGUGUUACCAAAUCUGUGUUCUUGCCUCCCUCCCUCUCCCCCAAAACCCUCUGGCUUCUUGGUGGAUGUCUACUAGAAUAAUUUGACUACUGCUAAGAAUGAGAAAUGAGGGCUUUUGCUUUUUAAAGAUGGCAUAGUAUUUUGGGAUAACUUCUGUGUGUCCCAAAGCACUUAACUAUUUAAGACUUUAAAAAUGAAUCUGUCCUUAAACCUCAGGGAGUUGAAACAUCAUCUUGCUAAAUAAAUAUGGUAAGUAUGGUGACAGUGUACUUCUAUGAAGAGGUAUUAUUUUCCUUCCAUGAAAAAUAGAUUUCUCACUGUAUUGUCUUGUGAAAAACUGUAGCAAACCAUAAGUCAAAAGGGGUGCAUCUAGGACAGACUUCUGGAUCAACACAGACUAGUGUACAGACUUGAGAAACGGCUCACUCCAUGAUGUGCUAGAAGCUUUUUUUGUUUUUGUACAUUCACAGUACUUCUUAUGGGGGGAGAGAGAAGAGCAUUUGGCCUUUAAUAUGCAAUUAACUUCUUAAUAACUCAUUUUAAUGUUUGUUUUCCUUUAAGAAAACAGGUUUUCUUGCCCUGAAGGCUGCUGUUCUUGUGCAAUGUUUUGAGUUUCCAAGGAAGUCCAGUUUAAAAAAAGAAGGAAGAAGGCAGUUCUUGAAGUCAAGUUGGCUUAAGUGGUGCAAGAUUAUGUAGUGCACUGAAGUCUAUGCAACACAUCUCUUAUACCGAUUGUUCUGGUACUUUGUUAGUGCUGCACUGCAGCAUACAGAUAUCUCCUAUUCAUGCACCACGAUUUACCAGAAGUUCUGACACCAAAUGGUAUCCAGAGAUUUUAUUUGCAUCUCUCACACUGAACAUUCAUGAAGUGUUACCAUAGUGAAAGUAACAAUACCAUUUAGUCUUAUCCUUGAUCCAGGAGGUCAUAGUUCCAAGUUAAGCAACAAACUCAUAAGCAGCUUCUGCAGUGCUGCAGAAGAUGAUGCAGCAGUGGUGAAUGUACUGUGCUUUUAGAUACCAUGGUAAAAUGCUUCAAGUAGUUAUUGAAAAUAGAGCUUGUGGCACUUCUCAAGAUAAGUAGAUGAAUUGUUUGAGUGUAUUUCAACAUUUUUUUUCCAGUUAAUUCAUUCUUUUGUCCCUAUAGCUGCUGAACCUAGACUUGCUACACUUGUCUUUAUAAAGUCAUUAGAUUACGGAAACUCCUUAUGCUGUAUAAUGUUUUAGGCUAUUGCUAUUUUUGUCAAGUGAAAGCAUUGGCUAUUUGAGAUAAGUAGCUGAGAAGUGUUCUAAGGAAUAAAAUGAGUUUCUGGAAAGAAUGUUAGAGCGAGAGAGAGAGAGAGAAGCAAAGCUGUGAUGGAAAGGAAGUAAAGCAAGUCGUUGAGAUGUACGUAAUCAUUUGCUUUCUUUUCAGUUUGAUUAAAGUGAAAGUGUAAGCAGAAAAUUGCUUAACCAGGUUCUGAAGAUAUUUCAAAUAUAGGACUGCAACUCUAAAAAUGAGAACCUCAUUUCCUGUUAGCUUCUUUCUCAGAGUUAUGAUGCAACAAACUCAGGCCUUGCAGGCAAGUCUUACAGACUCCCACCCACUGUAACAUGGUAUAAGAAAUACCUAGUGUCUACAGAUGAGAUGUCAUAUGCCCAGAAAUCUGAAUAUUCAAAGCUGGGAUUCCUGCUUGAAUUGUAAAUCUGCCAUUUACACAGUUGUGUUCUGAACUUGUGGAGGACCUGAUCUGAUGACAGGAUGGAAGUUAACAGUGAAAUAUGGCAAACAUUUUUCCAAAUAACCAUAACUUUUUUUUUUCCAUGUGCAACAUCAGGGUUAAAAUGUUAUAAAAAGCUUAAUUUUAAUUUAAAGCCUUAGAAGAAAAAUAGACUAUUUUCUAUUUACUACUGUUUAGGAGGGCAAGGCUAUUUUGUUUGUUCAUUUGUUUGUUUUGGUAUUGUCAAAAAGUGCCUUCCUGUCUCUUUCUAAUACUUCAGCCUUCUGAACCAAGAAUUAAGCUUUCACAAUUCUACGUGUGAAAACCCUUAACAAUUUUUACUUUAUAAAAAGUUUGGUGAGUGGGGCAGAAGGGAAUUUAACAAAAGAAGGAAUUGAAUUACAGUGUUGCUCAGCUUGGGGAAAUGCAAAACCUUGUUUUCCAUUCUUUCAUUUUUCAAAUCCUCUUUACAGAUAUGAAAAACAAGAACUAGUGGUACUGCAGGGGAGAAGAACAGAAGUAAAUGAGUACAAAUUGCUCAUUUUGUUACUGCCUCCCAGCCUCUUGAGCCUGAAAUAAGAGGGUUCUCUCUGUUCUAACAGGUUGCUUUGCCUGUCUUCCCCUUUCUUCUGUCUUCCCAUUUGUUCUACUUUCCCAGCUUGUUUGCAGUGGGGGUGAGGAGAGGAAGAAAGGAAGAAAUUUUUUUGGGGGGGGAGAGGAGGUAGGGGGUAGACUUCCACAUGGUAUCAUGUUAAGUUGAAGGGAAUUCCCUAAAAUUCGUAUACAAAAUUUAACAUUUUGAGGAAAAUACAUUCUGCAGAAUUCUGAGGCUUGUAAUUGUACUGGAAAUAUGAAAACAUUUUGGGCUCAAACGCAUUUAUUUGAGUUUUGGGCUCAAACACGGUUUGUUUUCAAAUGCUCUGGCAAGCACUGGAAUUGAACUAACAACCUGUUGUUUUUUCAGCUCAAGAAUCCUUCAGUGGUGAAGCUCUGGAAUCUUCAUGUAGCAUGAACAUGUUUCUCUCCUGGAAAUCUGGCAACAAUUCAGUAGCAGCUAUGUAACAGGAAAGGGAGUGCAGGUUACUGCAAGUCUGGAAUCCCAGAACUUGGUGUCGACUGCUGCUGUUUGUUUCACUACAUAGAACUUCAUGACAGUAGUGGGGAUAAAACUGGGAUCCUCUGUUUUAGAUCUUGAGCUGUGCCUUGGUGGGCUUAAGGAAGAGAUUCCAGCUUUAUCUUGUAGACCAUGAGAAACACGUGGUAGUUCAUUAUGGUAUGAUGCCUACAAGAAAUCUAAGAAGAUCUAAUGCAAGUAGAAUGUAACUUCCAACCAUGAAAUUAGCGCUGACAGCACAUUAGCACAUUUGCUCCCAGAAAGAGUGGCUAGUGUAUCUUCCAUGUUGAAAAAAUUAGAGCAGAAGGAGGUGUGCCAAAGACUUGACCCACUUAGAGAGCUUUCAUGUUCCUUGGAGAUCUAGUCAUGCUGAUUUAGUGUGAUCUUUUUUUAACUUGGGUAUCUAAUGAAGAGCAAACUGAUAGGGUUGUUUCAGCCAUGUAGUAUUGCUCAGUUCUGUUAAGACGAUAUACAGAAAACAGCACCACAACUAAGCAAACAACUUCAAAGGAACAGUCAAAGUAGCCAUUAAAAUUCAGUUACCAUAUUCUCUAUGCUCUUUUAGUAAUAUUAAAGCAAAGGUGUGACUCAGUUAAAAAAUGAGCUGUUAGGGGACCUUAAAAUAUAUAAUUUUAUGUCAGGUAAAUUUUCAUUGCUACUCAGCCCCUAUGGUUUGCAGGGAGAUGUAUGUAAGAAAGUUUCAGUAAUUGAAUGCAGAAAAAAAAUUCCAUUUCCUUUUCAGGUUGAUUCAUUUUUCCUAGUAUGCUCACAGCAAAGCUCCAGUUCUGUGACUAGGAUUACACUGAUGUCAGACUUCCAUUGCUUGCUGCAUCCAGUUGCAAGAGCAGUCAUGGGUUUCAACAUGCACACUUUUACAAAGGGAAUUGUGGCUCCUAUGUGAUAUGCAAACUUGUAUGGAGUAUAGGCGUACUAAAUGUUAUCACUGUAAUCAAAGCAUUGCACAUCCAACAAGUCAGUCAGCCUUUUGCUACAACUUCAAUUCUGCCAGCAUGCUACACUGAGAAACCAGCUGUGGGUAUCCUUUGAGACAUGUUAUACAUAUAUGACUUGAUCUAGAAAACUCAAAUACUCUCGAGAUCUGAUGUCUAGGGGAACUGCAGAAGCCCAGUACCUCUGAAAAUCAGACUAUUGUUAAACACGCAUUAAUUGCAACAUUACAUACAUUGUUGUUGAGGAAAAAGUAAAUUGAGAGUGGUAAGUGGCCGGUGAUGAAAUGCAUGGUGGUAAGGAAAUAGUUGGGUCCUUUACCACCUUUCCACACAUUCUGCUGGCUUGUUUGUUUUGUAUUUAAUAGUUCAAGGACAUUAAUUCAAAGAAAACUUUUAUGAAAUGUGAAGAAUCUUGGAGAAUACCAGCUGGAUGCUAUUGCAACUUGCUUUUAACCAUUAUCUUUCGAGCAAACUAUUUAAGUGAGCACCAAAAAUUGAGCUGGGCUGUAGCUAAGAUCCUUAAGAAACAGCCCUACCCUGAGAGCAUCACUCAAGCAAGAGCCCCUUCUGGCAGACUAGUAAAUCAUUUCAGUUUGAGUUGGAGUAGUUACCUUUAAUGCAGGGGAAUGGUUGGGUGAUGGAGAAGAGACUCGUACAUGCAUAUCACUUGUUCCAGUCUGCUGCAAUAACUUCCAUGAUUCUGCCCCCUGCCCCUCCCCUCCAUUUCUGUGAAGGCCUGCUCCUGUUUCCUGCCUGCACAUAGCCUUGGAUGUUAUUUUCCCUGCAGAUCCCAUUUGUUCCAAGAAAACUGGGAAGCACUGAAGGUAUCUCCAGUUCUCUGCAACGUUCCCUUUCAGACUGAAGAUUCCAGGGGAUUUGGUUCACUCCGUUUUGUCAGGGGGGUUUUAAGACCAUGUAAUUGGGAUGUCACCCAGAGCAGAGUUUGUAAGAAGCUAACCUAUAUCUUGGCCCCAGUCCCUGUGGAUCAAGCUUUCAUAUAUGGUCAUGUAGCAUUGACAUAACAAGGAUCAGCAUGUAGGGGUUACCCUAGCUAACCAUUAGAUUCAGCAACAGUGACUAGCAGCUUGUUUUUGCACUGUCUACUUACGAAAGAGUUACUAUUCUGCUGCUUCUGCAAAGAUUUAAAAAAAAACAGGAAAAGGGCAACAAUUAUUAAACACGCAGUUUCCUGUUGGGACUCUAAGUUCACUGGACUUUGACCUGGGCUUUAAGCCUUGCUUACACUGACCUGCCUCUGUUCUUAGAAACAUGCUUCUAAUGGCUCCACCCAGCAGCUGUGCUGAUGGUGUGAAGUGCCCUCUGGGAAAGCACCCGCUGCUGAUUGGCCAGGGCAGCCAGCUGGAGUCACAGGAGUGCUUGUACGCAUCCCUGCCAACUGCUGGAAACCAGAAAUCUUACGCUGCCUGGUUGAAGCAGUAUGCCAGUAACUGCCAGCAGAAGGGAGGCUUGUGUUACUGCAGAAGAGCAUUAGGUAUAAAGGCACUUGACAUUUCCUGGAAGGAUGCCAGUGCUGCUAGCAACACUAGUGUAGACUAAAAGUCAGGAACACAUCACAGCAGCUUUAGCUGUCUACAAAAGUGCAACAGAGCUACGCAAAACUAGAACUCUGUUCAGAGAUGAUACCUUUUAUGAAACCAACUGAAAAAUUAUCUUUCUUUGCAAGCUUUUGGACCAACACAGCUACCAAAUACAUCCCUAUUGCACCCAGCAGCUGACAUAGCUCUGCCAUCUAAAGUCCUGGAGUGGAUGCAAGCAAUUCUGUCACCUGAGAGCAAUUUCAACCAGGCAACAAGUUAUUUGAGGAAGUAGUGUAGCUUUGGCCACAGAAAAGCUGCCUACAGAGUUGUGUCCACACCUAGGGAUCUAGCUUCUAUAGUGCUGGCAUGUUAAUUCGGCACAGCUUGAGAAAUCUUCAUUCUGAUUUCUCCAGGAGGAUUUUCCAUCAAACCACAGAGGAGAGCUGGAGCUGGCUGUGUGAAAACAGGAAAGGCAGCAACGUGGAUUGACUUGGAAUACAAUAAGCAGUUGCGAGAUGGGAUCUUUAUUCUGUUAGGAGCCCAUUUGUUUCUCCCUUGCCCUGAACAAAUAUGCUCUGGAGAAAUGCAGUUCUAAAAGGCAAAUCAAGGAUAUUUUGUACACAUGGAAGCUGCCUUUGUAUGUGCGUGCAGCAGAACAGUUACAGUUGCUACUUGGAACAUUUUCUUAGAAACCCUUUUCUGUGGAGAAGGGAGGAGGAGGACCUUGAUGUUGGGUAAAGUUCAAUGCACCCUUUAGCUUUCACUGUUGCCAGUGUUGCAGGUUGCUGACUUGGGUCAAUAGAGUGUCUUACACCUUUUUUCCAGCUGGUAUUCAAACUGCAGCUUUAUAGAGGUUGGGGCUGGGAGCAGCAUUGGUGGCUGCCUCCAUCCUAGGCACAUCAUUAGAUGGAAGCAUGUUGUGUGCACAUCUCUAGCAACCCGGGGUGUUUAGGGAAUGAGCAAAAUAGGAUGCUGUGGAGAGAGAGGUCUUUUCACAUCAAAAUUUUGCAUAACUUUUGUUUUUUCAAGCUGUGCCCAACUAGCUUUUCCAUCUAAUAGCAUGGUCAAUGAGCAAAAGGGGAUGGGGAACAGAAAUUUCUCACAAGAAAAAGAUGGCCAUAGAGUCAAAGCUUUGGGAGUGAACAACUUUGUACAGCUCGUGCUAUGAACAAAGGCAUCUGUGCCUUUGUGAACUUUCUCACCAUGUAAAUAUGCUUUUAUUUUUUUUUGGCUGUGGUCUGAACAGCAGUAAAUGUUGUACUAUGUUCUAAUUAAGCUUUCUGCUUGGAGAGAAAACCCCCCAACCAAAAAACAAGCAUACUGAGGAACUACAGAUCUUCAGAUGUAGCAACUCCAGAAAGAAGAUUCACAAUACUUUGCCUGGUUUAGUGAAUGUCAACUAGAGUAGCAAGUACGGGUACCAAAACCAUCACAGCCAUUAUUCAGCCUCUCGGCUUUAAUCUUCCCAGUCAGUCUAGGCCUGUGUGCUAUGUGCAGCCCACACUAGCCCCACUCAAGAGCUUGGUCUGCACGUAGCAUGGGGCAUACGCUACAUGCAGUGCCUGCACUGGAGCAGCCCUGCACACUGGCUUUCACAUGCACAGAGAGCCUGGGGCCCAAUCCAGGCAUGCCCUGGAGGCAGCAUACAGGGCUGAAGCUCAUUGGGCUGGAUGAGUGUGAUACCCCUGUUUUAUUGUAUUAAUUGGACUUAACUAUUCUCGAGUAACUAGUUUACCUGGACCUCUUUCCUCCCUGGACUCUACACAGUAGGACUUCCCAGAGUGUUAUUUCAUCUCUUUCUGAGGCUCUGUAUGCACAUCCUGCAGGACUUCUGUGCCUUUGUGAGGUGACAUCUGUCCAGAGUUCCCUGAAACCACUGGCAGAAGCACGGUUAGGCUGCAGUGUGGAUGCACAGAAUUUGGUGGCGGGAAGGAGGGGUAACCCAAAUUAAUAUAUUGUAGUCCCCCUAAUAUAUUGUGGCCUGAACUUAUAUAGAAGUUUGUCCAGCUGCCACUUUGUGCUAGUGGGACUGGGUCUUCAUCCUGAACAGUAUUGAUGUGUGCCUUUUUAGAUUCACAGGUCCUGGCUCUGAUCCUGUACAUUGCUCUAUUACUGUAUUUACUCAAAUUCAAGAUGAGGUCUCUCCCCCUUAUUUAACAUGGGAGGAAGCCACUUGUAUUUGAGUACAGGGGGAGGAGCGGCAGGCGGCCAGUGUAUCUCUUAACUCCAGUGCUGAGUUCAGUUUGGAGCCAGAGGCAGACUAGCUGCCUGCCCCCGCCUCUGCCCCGUUACAGUCAGAUGCGGCUCCAGCUCCAUUUCCUCUCAUGCACGAAGCAGAUGGAAACUCAAAUUUAUCUUUUUCCAUAUAUAGAAUCUAAUUGGGCUGUCGUCUUAAAUUUGAAGUAAUUUUGGAUUCAGUUAAAUACGGUAUAUAUAUUUGCAUUGUGGAAAAAGCUACUAUAUGGACCCAAUUGAGGGCUUAAGAAGACAUUAUUUUUAACAUGCUGCAGGUAUUGUGGAAUUGUAUCCUAUGGAAAUGUAGCACAACAUGUAUGACUUCAAUUUGUAGCCCCCUGGUUGGAGUGUGGCAGACAGAGUCAGCACAAAAGCAAGCUCUCCAUCCGGGGGCAAUGAAGUGCUGCUUUUUAACUCCCCCCAUCUCCCGGGGAGCUUGUCGGUAGCAGGACAGGCUCGCUCACAGGCUUGCCCAUCAGCUGCUGCUGUUGUGGCCACAGCUGAUGGAGUUACCACCAAGCUGCCUGCUAGAGUAAGCCUGGGAUGGUAGGAACCAAUUGUGAGGCAGGGACCACCCUAUUGGCACUGGCUGCUGCUACCCACAGGCAGCCCCAGGGAUGACAGGAUCACUCAGAAGCCCCUUCUGGCAGCAAGGGUGGAUUGGGAGGUCUCUACUUGCCUGUCCAGCCCCUUCAGCCUCCUCACCAUUGUGGCAAAUAAACCAGCCCUUGCAUGGCUCCACGAGAGCUCAUUGCCUGGGUAGGUUAUUGGAGCCAACAGCUCUCCCUGUCCCUCCCUCUUGGAAGGCACAAGGAAGGAAGAGCAGAGCACUGUGGGAUACUGGGGUUUGGAGAACCCUGCACUCAUUAGGUUUGUCACUCAAAAGCUCCAUGCAACAAAGCAGCUGCUGUUUGAAACCACAACUUUUUUGUUGGGAUCCAUCAUCUUGGGACUGGAUCUUUUUUUUUUGUAGUGUGACAAAAAGUCUGAAUGUGUGGCUGCUGGCUUUGUCAUACUUUAACAGCGCACAAAGCACAACAAAUGUAAUGCCAGACCCCUGAGUCUUGCAAUUGGGUCAGAUGAGCAUGUCACAAACUGAUUCUAAAGACAUUAAUGUGGGCAGACCCUAAAAAACCCUUUGUGAACUCUGUGUACCCUAUCUAUGCUAUAUUUUUCUCAUCUGGAAGAUGUGCUUAACUAGUGUUCUGACUGUCUUACAACAUACUUAUAACAUAUUUUGCUUUUGCCUUUAUAAACAAUAGGACCAAACAUGUUAUAAAAAUCUACCAGUAGCUAUAGGACAACACUUUAGUACGUUUAGAACAUGGUUGGAUUCAAUUAAAGAUGAAGCCAAUUCGAAGAUGGUCCAAGCUCUACCAUUUAAAGGAAGUAACAUUUGUAGGAUAUUGUCAUUGUGUUGUUUGCCAAAAGAUUUACCAUAAAUCCCUUGGGAAAACAAUGGUUAUUUAGACUGUAAAAAGCAAAUAUGUAAAGGAUAGAACCAAAGGUUUUCUGGCCCAAAUUUCAGAGCCUCUGUCUGUUCAUCUGCCUCUGUUUUCUAGAAAAGUUGUGGACAAAGAACUGUUGACCACUUUUUACUUUCUCUCUCUUGCUGGGUUGUGAAAAUCUUGUUCUACAAUUUGUACCACCGUGUUUUGGAAAAAACUACGGAUGUGUCCAGAUGAGCAUGGAUAUGCGGUAUGUGAUGCCACAGACCUCCAGACACUACACACGCAGGCAUUCUCCAUGCUGCUUUGCCACAACAGAGGUGCUUUUUUGACCUCAGGAGACCUGGGGUCAAAAAAAGCCCACAUCAAAACAAGGCAGGACGGCACAUGUGGCAGCAGCACAUGCUGCCCAAAACCAAAGCCUGGCUGGCCAGAGCUGCACUCCAGCUGGCGGCCAGGCUUACUGCUUCAGGAGCACCACAGAUGCAGCUCCCAGAGGCCCUCAGGACCCCAGGUAAGACUGCUGGGGCCAGCUAAGUUGCUGGCCUCAGCCUCCCCUACCCCACCUGGGGUAACCUGUCACAUGCCAGAGCUCACAUGGCAUGGGCAUUUCCAGGGGCCAAGCAGCAGUAGUACAAGGUGUGCAGCUGCUCCUUGUCCCCCAGGAAAUGCAUGUUCCCACUUCUCUGGAUGUGCCCUAUGUGUCACCCUAGGGUCUAAAGGCUAUGGGGCUGUAGUUCCUCCUAGUACGUGGUUCUUAAGAGAAUGACGUGCUAGCAAAUUAUAAGCAGGGAUCCAGAUUUUCCAUUCACCGUGGAAAAAUGUGGUGAAGCAUGGAUUUUCUCUCUUAAAUGAGAAAAAUGCAGGAAAUGGUGGGUUCCCCCUGCAGGCUGUCAGAAAUUCAAAGGACAAGCAGGAUAUGGGCGAUCAGGCAGGGGGUGCCACGUGUAUGUGUGCACAUGCAUGUGGCAGCCAGGCAGAAGAAGAGCAGCCCCCCACAGAAAUCCAGGAUCCCUGAUUAUAAGCAAGAGAAAUUGUAAGUAGGAACUGAGGAUCUGAGCUGAAUAGCUGAUUCUUCACUUCUGUUUAGAUGAAUUCCCUCUUUGACACUGGUGUAAGAGUUGGGAGAAUUGGAUCCUUUUGUUUUAAACUGCAAUUCAACCUGGCCACCAUACAAAUUGAUUCUUAGCCCUGUGAACACUGCUGGGCCAAACAGGCCCUGUUUUAUAUGGACAGUAGAAUUUGUAGGGGAGGAGGGUUGCAUGAGACAACUCCAAUAAAUUCCCAGUGGUACCUUUUAUUCAUUGAUGCCUGAAGGAUGGAAUUGUUCAAUGGCUGGAAUAUGGUGUAGUCGCAAGUGCCAGUAACUUUCUCCAAAGCAGUUAGUUGUGCUCACCUUAAGAUCUUUAUUUCUGUGCUAGGUAGCAAGAUUCUAAGCACACUUCUAUUAAACUAGUGAACCUACUAGAAAAAAGCAUGAGUUAUAAAGGUGGGUUCCAAGUCUCCCCAAAGGACUGUUGCAAUCUGUGAGCAGUUUAGCUUUGAAUCGCAUCCUGAAUUUUUUUAAAUAAGCGUAAGAAUGCCCUAAAAUUUUACCUAGACAGUAUCUUCCAAUGGAGCCACAGAAAUCCAAUAAAUGUUACAAUGGUAUAAAUCCUACAUUGUGCGCACACAAUUAUUAACAUUUUCAUGCAGAAGGAUAUGAAGUAUGUUUUUUGCAUAAUCAAACAUUUUUCUUUCAUGUUUUCUAUUACAGCUGGGCAAGUGAUAAAAAUGUUGGAUAUGUCCGUAUUAGCAGAAUAACUGAACAUCAAGGGCCAGCUCCUAGUCCACCCAGUGGGCACCUGAGUGUAAUUCUAUUCCACCCUGCUUAUGUCCCUGAAUAUUCAUUAAUGCAUCUGAUUUUGUUAAGCACAGUCAUCAUACCCUUAAGACUGAGUCACAAGAAACCAGCAAGCAGGAAGAAGACCCACCCACCUUUUGCAGUACUAGUUAUCUAAGGACUUGAGCUAGUUCACACGCCCCAAAGUAAAUUUAUGUACCUAUCAGGUUAAAAUGGAAUCUGGCCCCAAACACUACUUUUAUAUCACAGUUUAUGGAAGCUGACAAGCACAAGCGAAGGCAGGAGUUGAUUGUCAAACUCGUAGGCAAAUCAUGUCUAUCUACAACUUGGGCCUUUCCAGGAUUCUGCAAGUGGGAAAUUGUAAGAGAAGAGGGGGCAAAGCAGGGCACAGAUCAGUCUGGACAAUUCCUGCAUAAAUACUUCUUCUCUUAGCAUCUACUCUACCACUGUGAGAUACUGGGCAAGAUGAACCUGUCUUCAGGCCCAAUGAGGCACUUGUUCUCACCUCUCACUUUCAGAUUUUGCUUUUGGUAACAUUGGUAUUACUAUGCUGACCUCUUAUUUUACUUUGUUUGCACUUCUGUCUCAGAGAGAAGAAUCUAGCCUCAGGGUGUCAUUAACCCUGUUGCAAAUGGGAGCUAAUAAUAGUUAGACAUCCUUGUAAAUAUACUUGGAGAUGAAAAGUGAAAUAAAUGCACCAAGUAUUAGAUUUUGGGUACUUGCAUCUUAUGCACUAGACCAGGGGUGGGCAGUUAUUUUGGGCGGAGGGCUGCUUGCUGAGUUUUGGCAAGCCAUCGAGGGCUGCAUGACAGGCAGCCAGGGGCAGAUACAUAUUAAUUUUCUAAAUAUUUAAGGGGCCCUGUGAGCCUGAUAGAAUGGCCUGACGGGCUGCAUCCGGCCCUCGGGCCACAUUUUGCCCACCCCUGUGCUAGACUAAUGCAAAACGCUGCAAAAUGGAGUUUUGUCUCUCUAGCUGGUAAUAUCCAGAAAGCACAUGCUUAUUUUCUUUGUCUACAAAGACUUUCAAUGCCAUUUGUUUCAAAUGCUUCAUUUAAAGGAAGACAGAAAUACAAAGUAGAAGAAUCAGUCCAGGCAUGAGAUAUCCCUUCUAAAUACUUCAAGUGUCUCCUCAGUAGUGCCCAGUCACUUGGAAUCGUUCCCUCACUAUUUUCUAGAAGACAGUGAUUCUUGCCUAACGUUCACUUGACUUCUUUUCUCCACACAGACUCUGAGAAUUUUAAUUGGCCGUAUGUUUCAGAGCUAGUUUCACGCUUGGUCAUCAGUGACAGCUCAUUGAGAUUUAGAUGUUCUUUUUAUCAAGCGAUGCUGGGCAACCUUUGGUGAAGAGAUGCCGGGUGGGAUUUCUUUGACUCCUAAUGUGCAUCGUUAUUUCAGCUUUAAUUUUUGAGUGGCCGAUUUUCCACGGCGCAUGAGUCUGGCGCCAAUGCACAUAACCAGAUCGAAGCUCCAUCGCCACUCCUUGGCCCCUAAAGGAGAGAAGUGAUAUAUGACAAGUACCUGAUUUUAAAAAAAGAGUUUGCAAGCCUCUUUACAACGUGAAGACCCAGGAUUGCUAGCUUUGUUGGGAACUACCCAAAGCCAAAUGCCGCGGUGUGGCAUGUCACUCUAGUCAACUGAAAAAUUCCACUCAGCUUUUAAUAGUGGCUUCUUUAAUAUGGGCUCAGAUCUAUAUUGUUUUGCAUAAAAAUAUAAGUCUUUUAAACUGGUUUGAAAUAUUUAAAGGAGACUUUAACAAUUCAAAUAAUAAUAAAAUGGGAGCAUGUCCUGACAACAUUACCGCCCCAGUUUGUAAUAAUCUGGAACACUGAACACUGUGAAAGCCAACUUCUCCCCAAAUAAAAAUGCUAGUGCAAGAACUCUCUUGUGUAAUUUCAGAGUUACAACUAGCCUGACAUCUAUUUUCAGAGACAGAGUUUGUGGCACAAGUGAAAGACAUUUCAUUUCUUUUUCUAUCUUCUAGUGAAAACUGUUUUGCUAGCAUUGAAACUGGUGUGGUAUCCUUGCUUCCAUUGUUAACAUCCUCUUUAUUCUGGAGUCAUUCUUUUUCUUCCCAAAGCUAAAUUCAUCCUUCAUCUAACGCCAGGGAGGUCAACAGACAAGCUUCCUGGAUAAAUUUGACCAGUGGUGUUUUUCUCAGAAAUAAAACCAUGAUCAACAAUUGAGACACAGGAGCCAGCCCCGUAAAAUUAAUCAUUUUUGAACAAGGACUUUAAUGGCCAUUUUGAAUACGAGAAUAAGCAUGAAAGGGAUUCUCAUCCGUUGUUUAAUCCAGGGCCUUAAAAAGCCACAGUAAAAUUCAUGAAAUCUGCCCUGACAUUUUGAAACUAUGGAUGCUGCUGACACAUUUUUAAGUAAGAUGAAGAUUUGAACUUGUGACCUGUAGUUUACAAGGCCAGGAACACUAAGGUAGGAACUGCAGUUUACUAUUUGAUUUGCCUUGCUUAAUGGAGUGGCUAAGAAACAACUGCAGCCUCACAAAGUAAGGAGAACAUGGAUCAAUUUAAUAGUCAUAAAUCCUCUUUUUAAUAUCAUCCAAUAUAGGUUUAUGGUUCCCCGGUCCACAGGAUGUACCAGAAAUGUGUCAUUAAAUUUUAAUACACAUAGUGCUAGAUUCUUCCUUGCAUCCAAGUUCUGCACGGUUCGUGGGUAUGUGAGCAGGAAGUGGUAUCAGCCAAUAUUUGCAAGCUCGGAUGUCAGAAUAAACUAGCAGUUGCUCUAAUUUGCUUCUUUAGCCCAUGGUCCCUAUGGGACUUUUAUUCGUUAAUGGAGCAGAGCUUAAGGGUGUUUGAAGUUUACAUUGUUACUUUAAGUCUGUCCUUUGAAUAGCUAGGGAUUUCUAAGUAUAUUUUUCAUGUUUAUUUUCCCUUUGGUAACUUUUUUUUUUUGCAGUAUUGGCUUGAGAAGUUUUUGCCUGGGGAUUUUUUUAAUGCAUGUUUUAUGUGUAUAGUGUUGCCUGAAGUAAAAAUCAGAAGUCUUUUCUGGAUUCAAAUCUUUUAAUUCAAUUUAGAAAGAGAUUUUUGAGAAAUAAUUGAUACAGUUCAUCAGCUGCUCAAGUCUAGAGCAAAAAUAACUGAAUUAUAUGUCUGUGCAGUAAAGAAAUCAAUAUUCAGUGUUCCAGCUUAUUAGGAAGUAAAACUUAGAUACUAGUAAGUGAUUAUUAAAAAGUCAUGUAUGCAUACAGCCAGUCUGGUGUUACUGGCAUUGCGGGGAGUCUGUCUCUGUGAACACAUUUUAGUCUCCAUUCUGUUCAUGAAGGAAUAGGGCUUUAAUAAUCUUAAUAAGUGUGCUUUACUGUAUGAAGGCCCAGUCUUGUGAAUAGUUUCCUAUGCACAUGCAUUGUCAUUUGCUUUUCAGUUGGUGAGGUUCUGCAUGGGCGUAACUGUAUGAGCUUGCACGCUUAGGCCUGCUGUUAUGAAGUGAUAUAAAUACAGGGAGACAUAGCAUCUUGGAUGAACAAGUAUUGCCAGAAAUUUCUUCAUAUACUAUCAUAUACAAUAUAAUGUACUGUUUCACCCUGAGGACCUUUUCCCUCAAAAUUCAGAUUUUUAAAUAAAGUUCAAACAAAGACUGAAA